GGUUGUGGCUCAGUGGUAGAGUGCUUGCCAUAGCAUGCAUGAGGCACUGGGUUCAAUCCCCAGCACCA
rnacentral:tRNA from 1 species